rnacentral:rRNA from 1 species
CUGCCACUUUUCUCCGUAGGUGAACCUGCGGAGGGAUCAUUACACAAAUAUGAAGGCGGGCUGGAACCUCUNGGGGUUACAGCCUUGCUGAAUUAUUCACCCUUGUCUUUUGCGUACUUCUUGUUUCCUUGGUGGGUUCGCCCACCACUAGGACAAACAUAUAAACCUUUUGUAAUUGCAAUCAGCGUCAGUAACAAAUUAAUAAUUACAACUUUCAACAACGGAUCUCUUGGUUCUGGCAUCGAUGAAGAACGCAGCGAAAUGCGAUAAGUAGUGUGAAUUGCAGAAUUCAGUGAAUCAUCGAAUCUUUGAACGCACAUUGCGCCCUUUGGUAUUCCAAAGGGCAUGCCUGUUCGAGCGUCAUUUGUACCCUCAAGCUUUGCUUGGUGUUGGGCGUCUUGUCUCUAGCUUUGCUGGAGACUCGCCUUAAAGUAAUUGGCAGCCGGCCUACUGGUUUCGGAGCGCAGCACAAGUCGCACUCUCUAUCAGCAAAGGUCUAGCAUCCAUUAAGCCUUUUUUUCAACUUUUGACCUCGGAUCAGGUAGGGAUACCCGCUGAACUUAAGCAUAUCAAUAAGCGGAGGAAACAGGAACA